rnacentral:rRNA from 1 species
GAUGAACGCUGGCGGCGUGCCUAAUACAUGCAAGUCGAGCGAACAGAUGAGGAGCUUGCUCCUCUGACGUUAGCGGCGGACGGGUGAGUAACACGUGGAUAACCUACCUAUAAGACUGGGAUAACUUCGGGAAACCGGAGCUAAUACCGGAUAAUAUAUUGAACCGCAUGGUUCAAUAGUGAAAGACGGUUUUGCUGUAACUUAUGGAUGGAUCCGCGCCGCAUUAGCUAGUUGGUAAGGUAACGGCUUACCAAGGCGACGAUGCGUAGCCGACCUGAGAGGGUGAUCGGCCACCCUGGAGCUGAGACACGGUCCAGACGCCUACGGGAGGCAGCAGUAGGGAAUCUUACGCAAUGGGCGAAAGCCUGACGGAGCAACGCCGCGUGAGUGAUGAAGGUCUUCGGAUCGUAAAACUCUGUUAUUAGGGGAGAACAAAUGUGUAAGUAACUAUGCACGUCUUGACGGUACCUAAUCAGAAAGCCACGGCUAACUACGUG